rnacentral:rRNA from 1 species
GGUUAAGCGACUAAGCGUACACGGUGGAUGCCCUGGCAGUCAGAGGCGAUGAAGGACGUGCUAAUCUGCGAUAAGCGUCGGUAAGGUGAUAUGAACCGUUAUAACCGGCGAUUUCCGAAUGGGGAAACCCAGUGUGAUUCGUCACACUAUCAUUAACUGAAUCCAUAGGUUAAUGAGGCGAACCGGGGGAACUGAAACAUCUAAGUACCCCGAGGAAAAGAAAUCAACCGAGAUUCCCCCAGUAGCGGCGAGCGAACGGGGAGGAGCCCAGAGCCUGAAUCAGUGUGUGUGUUAGUGGAAGCGUCUGGAAAGGCGCGCGAUACAGGGUGACAGCCCCGUACACAAAAAUGCACAUGCUGUGAGCUCGAUGAGUAGGGCGGGACACGUGGUAUCCUGUCUGAAUAUGGGGGGACCAUCCUCCAAGGCUAAAUACUCCUGACUGACCGAUAGUGAACCAGUACCGUGAGGGAAAGGCGAAAAGAACCCCGGCGAGGGGAGUGAAAAAGAACCUGAAACCGUGUACGUACAAGCAGUGGGAGCACAGAGCAAUCUGUGUGACUGCGUACCUUUUGUAUAAUGGGUCAGCGACUUAUAUUCUGUAGCAAGGUUAACCGAAUAGGGGAGCCGAAGGGAAACCGAGUCUUAACUGGGCGUUAAGUUGCAGGGUAUAGACCCGAAACCCGGUGAUCUAGCCAUGGGCAGGUUGAAGGUUGGGUAACACUAACUGGAGGACCGAACCGACUAAUGUUGAAAAAUUAGCGGAUGACUUGUGGCUGGGGGUGAAAGGCCAAUCAAACCGGGAGAUAGCUGGUUCUCCCCGAAAGCUAUUUAGGUAGCGCCUCGUGAAUUCAUCUCCGGGGGUAGAGCACUGUUUCGGCAAGGGGGUCAUCCCGACUUACCAACCCGAUGCAAACUGCGAAUACCGGAGAAUGUUAUCACGGGAGACACACGGCGGGUGCUAACGUCCGUCGUGAAGAGGGAAACAACCCAGACCGCCAGCUAAGGUCCCAAAGUCAUGGUUAAGUGGGAAACGAUGUGGGAAGGCCCAGACAGCCAGGAUGUUGGCUUAGAAGCAGCCAUCAUUUAAAGAAAGCGUAAUAGCUCACUGGUCGAGUCGGCCUGCGCGGAAGAUGUAACGGGGCUAAACCAUGCACCGAAGCUGCGGCAGCGACACUGUGUGUUGUUGGGUAGGGGAGCGUUCUGUAAGCCUGUGAAGGUGUGCUGUGAGGCAUGCUGGAGGUAUCAGAAGUGCGAAUGCUGACAUAAGUAACGAUAAAGCGGGUGAAAAGCCCGCUCGCCGGAAGACCAAGGGUUCCUGUCCAACGUUAAUCGGGGCAGGGUGAGUCGACCCCUAAGGCGAGGCCGAAAGGCGUAGUCGAUGGGAAACAGGUUAAUAUUCCUGUACUUGGUGUUACUGCGAAGGGGGGACGGAGAAGGCUAUGUUGGCCGGGCGACGGUUGUCCCGGUUUAAGCGUGUAGGCUGGUUUUCCAGGCAAAUCCGGAAAAUCAAGGCUGAGGCGUGAUGACGAGGCACUACGGUGCUGAAGCAACAAAUGCCCUGCUUCCAGGAAAAGCCUCUAAGCAUCAGGUAACAUCAAAUCGUACCCCAAACCGACACAGGUGGUCAGGUAGAGAAUACCAAGGCGCUUGAGAGAACUCGGGUGAAGGAACUAGGCAAAAUGGUGCCGUAACUUCGGGAGAAGGCACGCUGAUAUGUAGGUGAAGUCCCUCGCGGAUGGAGCUGAAAUCAGUCGAAGAUACCAGCUGGCUGCAACUGUUUAUUAAAAACACAGCACUGUGCAAACACGAAAGUGGACGUAUACGGUGUGACGCCUGCCCGGUGCCGGAAGGUUAAUUGAUGGGGUCAGCGCAAGCGAAGCUCUUGAUCGAAGCCCCGGUAAACGGCGGCCGUAACUAUAACGGUCCUAAGGUAGCGAAAUUCCUUGUCGGGUAAGUUCCGACCUGCACGAAUGGCGUAAUGAUGGCCAGGCUGUCUCCACCCGAGACUCAGUGAAAUUGAACUCGCUGUGAAGAUGCAGUGUACCCGCGGCAAGACGGAAAGACCCCGUGAACCUUUACUAUAGCUUGACACUGAACAUUGAGCCUUGAUGUGUAGGAUAGGUGGGAGGCUUAGAAGUGUGGACGCCAGUCUGCAUGGAGCCGACCUUGAAAUACCACCCUUUAAUGUUUGAUGUUCUAACGUUGACCCGUAAUCCGGGUUGCGGACAGUGUCUGGUGGGUAGUUUGACUGGGGCGGUCUCCUCCUAAAGAGUAACGGAGGAGCACGAAGGUUGGCUAAUCCUGGUCGGACAUCAGGAGGUUAGUGCAAUGGCAUAAGCCAGCUUGACUGCGAGCGUGACGGCGCGAGCAGGUGCGAAAGCAGGUCAUAGUGAUCCGGUGGUUCUGAAUGGAAGGGCCAUCGCUCAACGGAUAAAAGGUACUCCGGGGAUAACAGGCUGAUACCGCCCAAGAGUUCAUAUCGACGGCGGUGUUUGGCACCUCGAUGUCGGCUCAUCACAUCCUGGGGCUGAAGUAGGUCCCAAGGGUAUGGCUGUUCGCCAUUUAAAGUGGUACGCGAGCUGGGUUUAGAACGUCGUGAGACAGUUCGGUCCCUAUCUGCCGUGGGCGCUGGAGAACUGAGGGGGGCUGCUCCUAGUACGAGAGGACCGGAGUGGACGCAUCACUGGUGUUCGGGUUGUCAUGCCAAUGGCACUGCCCGGUAGCUAAAUGCGGAAGAGAUAAGUGCUGAAAGCAUCUAAGCACGAAACUUGCCCCGAGAUGAGUUCUCCCUGACUCCUUGAGAGUCCUGAAGGAACGUUGAAGACGACGACGUUGAUAGGCCGGGUGUGUAAGCGCAGCGAUGCGUUGAGCUAACCGGUACUAAUGAACCGUGAGGCUUAACCUU